CGGGGACUUCGGUCCCAGUGGCGAACGGUCGCGUAACACGUAAGCAACCUGCCCUGAAGUGGGGACAACAUCCCGAAAGGGGUGCUAAUACCGCAUGUGGUCACGAGUCGGCAUCGGCUUGUGUCUAAAGAUUUAUCGCUUCAGGAUGGGCUUGCGGCCUAUCAGGUAGUCGGUGGGGUAAUGGCCUACCAAGCCGACGACGGGUAGCUGGUCUGAGAGGACGAUCAGCCGGAUUGGGACUGAGAUACGGCCCAGACUCCUACGGGGGGCAGCAAUUAGGAAUCUUGCGCAAUGGGGGGAACCCUGACGCAGCGACGUCGCGUGAAGGAUGAAGGCCCUCGGGUCGUAAACUUCUUUUGAGUGGGAAGAAAUUUGACGGUACCACUCGAAUAAGCCCCGGCUAACUACGUGCCAGCAGCCGCGGUAAUACGUAGGGGGCGAGCGUUGUCCGAAGUUACUGGGCGUAAAGCGCGCGUAGGCGGUUAUUCAAGUCUGGGGUGA
rnacentral:rRNA from 1 species